AGGCGCCUUGCCUGCCCGCCUGCACAGGGCGACGAGCCGCUUGAAGAUGGAUUGGGGUAGCUCCCCAUCCGGCUGAAGAUGUUCCCUGAUUAUGCCAUCUUUCCAACUUUUGGAAUCCUAGGCACUCUAUUGCAGAAUCGUCUUCUGUUGAAAAAAAACACCAAAAAAGGAACAUUAAAAAAUCUGCUUGCAUUUGUAUACCUCAUCAAAUGUGAAGUGCAUCAACAAGUCUGAGAAUUAGGAAUGUUUAAUGGCAAGGCCCAUUUCUGAAACUUCUACAAUGGAGAUCACUCUAAAACUAUUUAGGGUGCAAUCCUGAUCUUGUCAGUGGAGGGAGCUGUAGGAAGAUUCAAGUGUAGGAACUGCCCUGACCCACUGAAGUAGCAAAACAGCUUUGAAGAGGAGGAAAAGGGUGUGUCAGGGGAGGGAAGGAAGUUGGUGCU